rnacentral:rRNA from 1 species
GNACCUUUUUGGUUUUGUUCUCUGCUCAGGAUGAACGCUGGCGGCGUGCCUAAUACAUGCAAGUCGAGCGAACAGAUGAGAAGCUUGCUUCUCUGAUGUUAGCGGCGGACGGGUGAGUAACACGUGGGUAACCUACCUAUAAGACUGGGAUAACUCCGGGAAACCGGGGCUAAUACCGGAUAAUAUUUUGAACCGCAUGGUUCAAUAGUGAAAGACGGUUUCGGCUGUCACUUAUAGAUGGACCCGCGCCGUAUUAGCUAGUUGGUAAGGUAAUGGCUUACCAAGGCGACGAUACGUAGCCGACCUGAGAGGGUGAUCGGCCACACUGGAACUGAGACACGGUCCAGACUCCUACGGGAGGCAGCAGUAGGGAAUCUUCCGCAAUGGGCGAAAGCCUGACGGAGCAACGCCGCGUGAGUGAUGAAGGUCUUCGGAUCGUAAAACUCUGUUGUUAGGGAAGAACAAAUUUGUUAGUAACUGAACAAGUCUUGACGGUACCUAACCAGAAAGCCACGGCUAACUACGUGCCAGCAGCCGCGGUAAUACGUAGGUGGCAAGCGUUAUCCGGAAUUAUUGGGCGUAAAGCGCGCGUAGGCGGUUUCUUAAGUCUGAUGUGAAAGCCCACGGCUCAACCGUGGAGGGUCAUUGGAAACUGGGAAACUUGAGUGCAGAAGAGGAGAGUGGAAUUCCAUGUGUAGCGGUGAAAUGCGCAGAGAUAUGGAGGAACACCAGUGGCGAAGGCGGCUCUCUGGUCUGUAACUGACGCUGAUGUGCGAAAGCGUGGGGAUCAAACAGGAUUAGAUACCCUGGUAGUCCACGCCGUAAACGAUGAGUGCUAAGUGUUAGGGGGUUUCCGCCCCUUAGUGCUGCAGCUAACGCAUGAAAGCACCUCCCGGCACUGGAGNNNNG